rnacentral:misc_RNA from 1 species
GUUCUCAGACUUCAGUUUUCCAGGCAGGGUUGGCUAAUUCCGGCAGGCGGGGCCCUCCGCGAGCAGAGGGGACUCCCCGCCAGGCGCCGAAUCCGGGCCGCGGUUACAGAGGGUGGGGAUUGUGCCGCGAGGGCGUUACCCAUUAAUGAUCCUUCCGCAGGUUCACCUACGGAAACCUUGUUACGACUUUUACUUCCUCUAAAUGACCAAGA